GGACAGUAUUUGAACAAGUCGUAUUUUACUAAAGGACUCGUGGAUUGCGGGGUUCCACGACAUCACCUCAUAGAUGCAGUCGAUGGUUUGUUCCAGAUUCAGGCUUGUUUCCGGGAAGAAACCCUGAGAGAAAUUCAGAAGAAUGGGAGCUGCAUUCCAUUAGGACUUGAAUACACUAAAUGUUGGUCUCAGGACCUUGUAGAAGAAUGAGCUGGGACCCACUUUCUGAGUCCUGCUGGAACCAGAGACCGAGAUAUCGGCCAGGUGUCUGAAUGCCUGCACUAGGGUACCUACCUCCUUUUCUGAUAGACUGUAUUCCUGUAAGUAUUGCCGUCGCUCUACCUUUGGACUUUAUCCUGCAUUGUAUCUUUCAGUCUGUUCACUUAAUUUUGUUGGAGUACUUUAAUGCUGAGGGAUGCAUAAUUGGAUUGAUUUUCACUAAAUGGUAUGAGCUGCAGUUCCAAUCAUGACAGAAAGCACGUGCUUCCUGUGUUAGGUACUCAAGAGCAAGGCAGAUACCCUGGAGACUUGAGCUGAGUAUGUCACUCGGUGUUUUGCCAGCCCUCUUCCCUUCCCUGGGAGACAAGGGUCUCGUUUUGGUCACACAGAAAUGUAGGUGAAGUCAGCAGAGAAGGGUCCCUUCUCUUCUCUUCUCUUCCGUUUUUCUCUCAAACUCCCUGUCACUACCUUCUGCCUGGCUCUUUCCCUGACUCAAUCCCCCAGGCCCACUGCUCCAUUCCAGCCAUGAUAAGGGUGUCCUCCAGCUGCUGGCCUCUGCUUUGGCCAUCACUCAGUGAGGAAACUGCAAGAGGAUUAUGUAGUUCAUGGGUCUGAUCAAGAAAUCUCUGUUCCUCAGAGUCCUCCUACACGUGGUGCUGUCUGUGGAGACCUGGCAUCCUGGGUGUGGGUCUGACCCUAAUUCCUCUCUACAGUCACUGCUGGUCCCUCAUCCUUCUCCACCAUUAUAACUCAGCCAUUUCCUAGGGACAGAUACCUGUCUGACCCCAAGGCACCAUGGAGUCAGGGAAUAUUUCCAAAAUAAUUGAGCAUAAGCACCCCAUCAAUCUAGAUAUAGGAAGUUCCCAUCACCCCGGAAAACUCCCUCAGGCUCCCCUGCACACAGGGUGAUCUUGCUUCUAUCCUCCCUCACCACCAUUUCUGGCACUUUGUUACCUGUGUGUACAGGAACCCCACUGUGUGCACUCAAUGGGGAGUGAGAGUAGAUGGCCCUAGAAGCAGACGCUGACACAGAGACAAAACGAUGAAAGGUAGAUUAGGGGACAGUAGGAAGGACAAAGUGGAAGGGACAGGAUGGGCAGGGAAAGCAUUUAGGUAGAUCUGACACCUUCUUAAAAUGUAUAUACAAACAUGAUUGUCACCGUGCACAGUCCUCUUCAAAUUUCAAAAGAGUUGUCCUAUAAGGCAAAGAGAUUUUGGUUUAUUCCCCUGUGAUCUUAUGUUUUCCUACGUGCAUUCUGUCUUCUGUAGUUUAUCUGUGGCCUCAGAUGAACACUUUAGUGUGUGGCUUCAUCUGUGAGGUUAUGUGUAAUAGAAAAUGAUUGUCUUCAGAUCUAGGUCUCUGAAUGUACACAUUCUCAUAAUUAUCUUUUCUUUCAUGGUGUGACAGGGCCUGAAUUCUAAUAGAAAAACGAGGGACAUUGUCUUAUUUUUUAAAACAGUGAUUCCCAUUCCCUGGGCUGAGUUGUUAACAGUCUUAGUUUAAUGAACUCCCGUGACCAUCUUUUUUGGAGGAUCAUUGUGUGGAGAGAUCUCAAUGGAAACUGUGAGAAGCGUGAGGGGACACUUCCCGGAGAUUUUGCAGAUGCUUUCUGCACUGAAUGUCUUCUUUUUCUCUUGUUCUUGGAAACGAAUGUUAUCCCUGUUUUCACAGAUAACACAGCUGAGGCUCUGUAGGUCCCACUGAGAACUGGUAUUAGGGCUGAGACAGCAGGAACACAGGCAAAGCGUCAUAAUAUUGUGAGAGAAGUUUGAGGAGAUGCAAAGCUGUAGUCAGGAUGAUGACAGGCGUCCAGCAGUGGUGUCAUCUGGCCAGCCCUGAAUUGUAGGAUGACUCAGCUGAUCUAGACUCUGUAUCCACUUUUAGUCUCACUGAGGGAUAUGAACUUGGGCAUACGGCAUUUUCAUUAGACCAAGUUAAACUCCCCAUAUCUCCAGGGCUCUUUCCCCCCCACAAAUACCAGACCCUUCAGGAAAAUCCAGGGAGACAACAGUCUUUUUAGAUGAUUACCUGUGUACACUUUGGCAACACACUGACAUUUUGGAGAUGAACGGUGCAUUGUGCACUGAGAGCGAUCCCACAUAGCUCCGUAUGGACCUCACACUCCCUGCUCAGGCUGUGGCCAGGAAUGACCUCCAACUGCAUCUCACUGACCCCAACACCCUCCCCUCUGCACCUCCUCAAACUCUGCUUACUGUGCUCAACUUCCCUUCUAUUCCUGUAUGAUUCAAGGUUCCCCCAUUUUUGCCCUGGAUCCUUCACUGGUGUUUCCAUUUUGGUGAUUACAAGGUCUGAAUCAUUUAAUGAAUGUCCCUCUUUCACACAGGACACCUGAUGCUCUAAAAGUUAGAGAACCCAACACAUUGUGUCUCCAACAUACGCCCCAGUACUGCUGAUACGUCUGCUUUUGUGUAAAAAAUCCUCUUUCAUUUGACAAGAGAAACAUAGCUCACUGUAUUCCAGGGACAUGACACUGCCCAUUGUAUGUAUGUCCUGAGAAACUUGAGAUAUGCUACAGUGUCCUCAGGCAGUUUGUAGUUGGAUUGCCAAGACUCACAGCCAUCUCUACAUCAUUGCCACAAAGUCAAUCAUGAAGAAGAUGACUAUACUUUACCAGCCACUCAUCCAGUUCAGGUCAUCUUAACAAAUAGAGUAGGUGGAGGAGGGGGAUGUGGCCUAUAGCCUAUGACUGGUGGUGAAGCGUGGUCCACGGGGUACAGCCUGCAAGGCAAUCCUGGGAAAGGACCAGGACUCUUGCAUACAAAAUAGCCUGAGGAAAAGAAAUGAGAGGUAUGUUCAUAGGACAGAACAGAGCACCAACACCAGCAAAAAGCAGAAACCCAAAGCAGCAGUGCUCAUAUCCUACUAGCUUCCCCACCACCUGGUUCCAAGAGGGCAGCAUCAGCGCCAAAAUCUCUACCCAUAUGUGGGUUCCACUUACAGCUUUGGGGUGGGAAGAGGAUGUGAUUGGGGUAAACUAAUGUCCCCACGUGUCUGGAAACGUAGAAACAGCAAGGGCCCUUUUCCUAGAAGAUUUAUAGGCUGAAUACUAAAUUAACAAAGUAGCAUAUUCCAAAUAGGAAGGCAACUAUGUCCAGGAUCACACUCCACCCUUCAUCCCCUCCACCACAGAGGCUGUUUAUUGUGUUGUGAAGAACUACAGAAUGAGAAGGAAUGACAAUCCCAGUGUCCACACAUGGAAUCAUAGCCCUUGUGGCUCAAAGUUCUGCCUCUAAGCCCCUGCCUGUACCCAAACUACUGUCCCGACAAUGGGGUCUCUUCCUCUCUGGAAGUGCUAUCCAUGCUCACAGAAACAUAUGGGGAGAUGGGGAUCUUGAGGGCCUGUAGAGGACCUGGGAAAGCAUGCUCUUAGAGAAACAGGUAGCCUAUACAUGUUAGUUGGCCUAUACAUGUUAGUUAGGUUCAGCUAAUUUAUUUGAAUUCAGAGGGUACUUCUCAGCUGAAGUACAGUACAUUUUGCAGGGUAAUUGUGUUCUCUGGAAAAAUGAGCUGAAAUUCUAAAAGACAAAAUUAACACAAAUGCACUUUGAUGUCUGGUGUAAGUUUCCAUGUUUUAGCUGUACCUGUGACACAGGACACGAGAGAACGUGCUCAUGUGAACACAAGUGAAGGACACCGUGAGGGCUUGCCACGCAGCCCCAUUCCUUCUCUCCAAGAGACGCCUGUACCAACCCAUGGUGGGGGAAAGGACAAAGAUGAGAUCCUGAGAAACUUGAGGAAUGUGGUAAUGGCAGCAGACACAUUCCCCUUGCAUCACAAUGGUCUGUGGUACCACCUCUGCACCUUGGCCCAAGACCUAACAGCAACAAAAAUAAGGGCAGGGCAUGCAGAAUCGUCCAGUUAACCGAGGAGGUCCCCAGGAUCCAGACUGUCCUGCAGAAUCGACAGCUACAUCCAUAUGCCAGACAAGAGAACCAAUACCAAAAGCAGCUGUAACCCAGAGAAGAAUGUGUCAGCACCUGCCACCUUCUCUGCCACCAGGAUCCAAGAGAGUAGCAUCAGCACCUGAAAACUCUGUCCCUGUCACUGGAUACCACCUACAGCUUGGGGUAGUAGAUGCAAGAGGUUAACCUACUGCCACCACACAUCACUGCCCAUGUCUGUGGAAGAAAAUGGCAAGGGUCCUGUCCUAAAGAGUUAACAGAAGUAAUUACAGAUUAAUGAAGUAGCAUUCUCCAGACAAGCAGCCAUCGAUGUCCAGGUUCACCCUGCAUCCCUCCUCUACAGUGACUCCAGAUGCUCUGUUUUUGGUAUAUUAAGAACACAAAAAAAUGAGUGGGAAUACACGGCUCAUAUUCUGCUCAUGGAAUCACAGCCACUCCUGGCAAAACGUUCUGCAGCCGGACCCUCUCUAUGCCUCCUCUGCUCUUCUCCCUGAGAAAGGAGUCUUCCCUCUUGAAGUGUUGUCAAAGGCCUCUGAGACCUAUGGGGAGUGGAGGAUGCCUGGAAUCUUGCAGGGGAAUGAGAGUCUUCUGUGAAGAACGAGUUACUUGUGGUGAAUGUCUACAAAGCUCAGAUGUGUAAUUCAUAGGGAAUUCUGACUUUAAGCAUAGUACAGGGCACAGAGUAAUUAUGUGCAACAGAAAAAAAAAAAGAAGAAAUUCACAUAACAGAUUUCAUGCAAGUGUUUUGGUAUAAAACUCCUGGUAUGUGUCAUGAGACUGUAUGAGCUCUAACAGUGACUGGGGACAUAACCAAAAACUGCUCAUAGAAACACAAUUGAAGGACACAGUGUUCAAACUAUUUUUACCUAAGGUAUAGCUGGAAGGAUUCCAGGCUAGUCAUUUACCAACAAAGACAGGAAGGUGAUGAGUGAUGACACUGGCUUUAUCUAGGACCACUCUAAAUGGCACAGGGCACAAAAUAUAAAGUUGGAGUCAUGAGGUCGUUUCCAACAGGUUCAUCUCCUAGCCAGAAUCAAGAAAGAAAGACACAGCAACCACACUCUUCCCACAGAGGUGAGGUCUGGAAGGGGUCACCCAGGCCAGGAGACUUCUGUUUGGAGUGUGCAGUCAUCCUCCUCUCGUUAUUUCUUGAAACUCACGGAAAAACCUUAAGGUACUCAGUCUCUAAGCGCUUUUGGCUUCUAAACUUACCAUGGAAAGCUGACAGAAUAAAAAUUGAGAAGCCUGUUGGCUCCUGGGUCAUGAGUAUGCAUUUCAAAAACAAAGAAGAAACAGACAUUUCACACAACACGCAAAACAAGACAAGGCCGGGAGAGCGUGCUGUACAUAAAGAUGAGGGUUUGCCAAAAGAGUUACAACUGAGAAUGGCCCCGGCAUUUACCUUGUCCUUGUCUGCAUUCUUGGUACAGCCAGAGCCGCUGUAACUCACAGAGGUUUCAGCAGUUUCUCGAUCUACUAACGACCAUAGAAGGGACAGAGGUUUAUUCUGCUUUCAGAGGACUGGGCAUAAUGAAAACAAUCCCUCAACUCAUUCCUCAAAUAUCUUAAACUUUUCCCUACAGUCAGGUCCCUGACCAGAGGCAGAGGGUAUCCCACAUGCCUCAGGUGACCCCCAAGGAUAAGGGAGAGAAUCAUCCCCUCACCUUGAUAAAGACCUCACAGUGCUCUAGUUCAUGUUGUUUCAUAAUCACAUAACUGUGGACAGGUCAGGCACAACUAACAAUUUAGAAUUCAUCAGUAAAACAGUUUUCUCAGUAUACAUCAUGGGAAAUCAUGAUUUCAUUACAGAUAUAGAAUUAAUAUGAGGAUGCUUGGAUUCAGCAUCCGACUCUUAAUUUUGGCUCAGGUCACGAUCUCACAGCUUGUGAAUUCAAGCCCAGCGUUGGGUUCCUCACUGACAGUGUGGAACCUGCUUGGCAUUUUGUCUCUGCCUCUCUUAAAAUAAACUUAAAAAAAAAUAACAUUGAGAAUACUGGUUUGGUGUAUAUCCUCAAUGAGUCCUCAAGAAGCGUGCAUUUCUUCAGACUUCAGGCAAAUUGUUCAAUCUCUCAGCUUAUCUACAAGCUGCUUUCCACAUGAGAGCAGUUAGUAUAUAACUAAAGACUAAUUUUACACUAUAGAGAAAAGGAAAACUGUGAGAAGUUAGCAGUGAAGCUGCAGAGUUACACUGAUACCAUCAGAGGACUAAGCUAAGCUUUAUGGAACUUGAAUUGAGGGAUGUAGAGCUACAGUUCCCAAAAACAAACAAAAAGAAAGACCAUUAAAACUAGUGAAUAAAUGACCUUCUCCUCAAAUAAACUAAAGUCUUCACAUUGAGUCUGAGUGGGAAAAAGGAAUAGGCCCAUGUCCUGUCAUCCUUUCCAGGCUCUUCAGACAGGGGGAUGCUAGAGGAGUUGGGAGGGUCACCGGCAGAGGAGGGGCAUGAGCUCCACCAGUCUCAGGGACAAGUGUCUCACUGUCUGUGGCGCCAGAGGAGAACACCCUUCUGUCACCCCUUCAGACCACCUGCCGUCCUUACUGCUUGUGAUUCUUUCCAGACCACACAAUGAUCAUCCACAGGAACAAGCUGCACAGCAGAAGUUAGAUUACGGCACAUCACAACGUGCCUCUUACCUCUCCUCGGAGGGUUCUGCGUCUCUGGUCUUGCAGCCAUUGGUUUCUGCCCCGUGUAUCCCUCAGGCAGCCUCUUUGCUUCCAUCCCUUCCAGUCUUGGAUACACAAAAAUAAUGGACUUCUAUAAGAGUUGCAACACCACGUGUUUACUAGACAACUAACAGUGCAGGUGUCAUCCCUGGAAACACCCAUAAAAACGCAAGUCAAAUGACCACACCUGUAUUUCAAGGUUGCAAAGACGAGGGCCAUGAAAUGGCACUACCACAUUGAUGGGUAUGAUUCAUUGUACGACACACUGCUUUCCUACAGAUGAUGACAAUUGACACCACCCCCGAGGAAUGUUAGCAUGGACAAAGUUUCCACACAGUCUGGUCACUACUUGAGAUCUGCAAAUGUUUAGAAACUUAAUUGUUUUAUUCUUUCUAAAACUUACCUUUUUUAUCUGUUAAUACUCUAUGCAUAUGUUGACUUUAAACAUUGCAAAAAGAUUAAAAACCAAAAAAUAACAGCGGUUUCAUGAGCUGCUGGUAAUUACUGGCUGAA